rnacentral:rRNA from 1 species
UACGGAGGGGGCUAGCGUUGUUCGGAAUUACUGGGCGUAAAGCGCACGUAGGCGGCUUUGCAAGUCGGAGGUGAAAGCCCGGGGCUCAACCCCGGAAUUGCCUUUGAGACUGCAUCGCUAGAAUUGUGGAGAGGUAAGUGGAAUUCCGAGUGUAGAGGUGAAAUUCGUAGAUAUUCGGAAGAACACCAGUGGCGAAGGCGACUUACUGGACACAUAUUGACGCUGAGGUGCGAAAGCGUGGGGAGCAAACAGG